AUGGACAAAAAGACAAAGAUGUUAAUUUAUGCGGCUGCGGCACAAUGGUUUAUCAACAUGAUAACAUUGGUUGUUCAAUCCAGAAAAAGAAAAAGGGGAGAAGCAAUUACGUAUGCCCCAAUUGAUGAGAGAGAUAGGAUGAGAAGAGAGUAUUUUGACAACAAAAUAUGGAAGAAUGACACAACCUGUGUGAACAUGCUUAGGCUUCGGAGAGAACCUUUCUUUAGGUUUUGUCAACUCUUUAGGGAUCGCAACUUGCUAAAGGACACAAUACAUUUGACUAUUGAGCAACAAGUAGCAAUGUUCUUGCACACCGUCGGGCACAACAUUAGAAAUAGGGUAAUUGGCGCCAAUUUUGGUAGAUCCGGUGAAGUUGUGAGCCGUUACUUCCAAAGGGUACUCCAUGCCAUUGGCGAGCUUCGAGAUGACCUUAUUGGGAAGCCUUCAUUGGAGACCCAAACCAAAAUAGAAGGAAACUACCGGUGGGUUCCAUACUUUAAGGAUUGUAUUGGAGCUAUUGAUGGUACACAUGUGCGAGCCUCUAUUACACCGGAUAUGGAGGCUUCCUUUCGUGGUAGAAAGACUUAUGCCACUCAAAAUGUGAUGGCGGCUGUAGAUUUUGAUCUUCGAUUCACAUAUGUGUUGGCCGGGUGGGAGGGGACAACACAUGAUGCUCUAUUUUUACGUGACGCUUUAGAACGUGAAAAUGGUCUACGUGUCCCACAAGGGAAAUUUUAUCUAGUUGAUGCUGGAUAUGGAGCCAAACAUGGUUUUUUGCCUCCUUUUCGUGGUGUGAGGUACCACUUGAAUGAGUGGGGAAACAACCCUGUGCAAAAUGAGAGGGAGCUGUUCAACCUUAGGCAUUCUUCUCUUCGUGUGACUGUAGAACGUGCAUUUGGGUCAUUGAAGAGAAGAUUCAAGAUACUUGAUGAUGCCACUCCAUUCUUUCUGUUUCCAACACAAGUUGACAUUGUUGUGGCUUGUUGCAUUAUUCACAAUUGGGUUAUAAAUGAUGGGAUAGAUGAAUAUAUCAUACCCGAGGAUGAAUGGGUGCCAAAUAUUACUCAUGCUUCAUCAUCAAGUGGUCAAGCACAUGAACAUGCAUACAUGGUUAAUUUUAGGCAAGGAGUUGCUGAUCAAAUGUGGGAAGACCGACAAAACCAUUUGCAAGGUCAAAAUAUGUAG
rnacentral:rRNA from 1 species